AGUGGAAUUACUAGGUCAUAUGGCAAGUCUAUGUUUAACAUUUUGAGGAACCACCAGAUUGUUUUCCACAGUAGCUGUACCAUUUUACAUUCCCACCAGCAAU
rnacentral:pre_miRNA from 1 species